rnacentral:lncRNA from 1 species
AAAAGACUCCUAACUCUUGCUCUCUAGAAGAACCCACCCUUGAAGCUGAAAUGAAAGAAGACAUAAAUCGAUGUUCGGUGAGGUGGGCCCCAAACCAGCCUUCUUCGACCCCAGCCACCAAGAUGCCUGGAAACAGCCCCUUCAGUGUCACCUGCUGCUCCUUUCAUCAUGGGGUUUAUAUCUAAGCCAUGGGACCACAUGGGUGAUGACACCAUCCUGACUUGCCCAGUUCCUUGGCUGCCACGGGACCAGAACCGGCCUUCAGGGAGAACGUGUGAGCGGGGUGGCCCAGCAUCUACCAGGCCUUCUGGUGCCACCAGGUCGCCUGCGUGUCAGCUGUCGGGGAGAAGCCAGACUUGUCUAUUAUUGGCUCAGAUCUGUUUAAUUUAAAUUUUCUUGCACAGGGAAAGGAAAGAAGUGAAGCUUCCCAGAAGGAGCACUGAUCACACAGCAGUUUCCCUGUCUGGGCUCUGAAGAGACCAGGAUGCAAUUUUCUUGGCAAAUUCUUCUUCCUCAGUUAACCCAGAUGUCUGAGUGAGAGUCAGCCUUGCCCGACAGGGGCAAGGAGGAACAGAGCAAGAAAUGAUUUCAGCCAGUGUGGGCUUCCUCCCAAAGCAAUUAGAGUUUGAAUUGAAGCAGCCAAAUCAGGUUCGAGGUUUUUCUUCCUUGGAAGCCAUGAUUUGCUGCGUGACGACAGCACAGAGCUGAUGGGCUGCAGCUCUACCACAACCCAAAUAUCACCACAGCCUCUGCGUGCAGGUGGGCUGGGAGAGCAGGCCAGAAACGGAGGCUGUUGGUAACAAGCGGACAAUUUUGAAAGUUUGCUCUGUGCCAGGCGAGCCUCCAUUAAGAGCUGGAAUGUAUGAUUAUCUCCUUUAUUCCUAAGUUAUUAGGAAUGAGUAGAUGCUAGUAUUGCCCCCAUUGCACCAACAAGGAAACUGAGGCUCUGGGAGGUUAAAUGACUGGCCGAUGGCUAUCAGUUAAGUAAAUGGCAGAAGAAAAAUCCAGAGCCCACAUGUUCUAACUACCAACAAUGCGGACUGUCAGAGUAGAGAGAAGCAAGCUCCAGGAAUAAAAUCAAAGGUCAGUUGCCCUCUCCUUUUCA